AUAGUCGGAUUUAUAUCAAUCCACAUGUGUUGAGGUGGAUUGGAGCGAAAUUUGAACUAAAUUCUAUUCCAAUCCACACCAACACAUAUGGAUUGAGGUGAAUACAACA
rfam:Sorghum bicolor cultivar BTx623 chromosome 3, whole genome shotgun sequence.